rnacentral:rRNA from 1 species
CCUACGGGGUGCAGCAGUGGGGAAUAUUGCACAAUGGGGGAAACCCUGAUGCAGCGACGCCGCGUGAGUGAAGAAGUAAUUCGUUAUGUAAAGCUCUAUCAGCAGGGAAGAAAAUGACGGUACCUGAGUAAGAAGCCCCGGCUAACUACGUGCCAGCAGCCGCGGUAAUACGUAGGGGGCAAGCGUUAUCCGGAUUUAUUGGGUGUAAAGGGAGCGUAGGCGGCAGUGCAAGUCUGGAGUGAAAGGGGGGGGCUCAACCCCCGGACUGCUCUGGAAACUGGACGGCUGGAGUGCAGGAGAGGUAAGUGGAAUUCGUGGUGUAGCGGUGAAAUGCGUAGAUAUUAGGAGGAACACCAGUGGCGAAGGCGGCUUACUGGACUGUAACUGACGUUGAGGCUCGAAAGCGUGGGGAGCAAACAGGAUUAGAUACCCUUGUAGUC